rnacentral:rRNA from 1 species
AUUGAACGCUGGCGGCAUGCCUUACACAUGCAAGUCGAACGGUAACGGGCCUUCGGGUGCCGACGAGUGGCGAACGGGUGCGUAAUACAUCGGAACGUGCCCGAUCGUGGGGGAUAACGAGGCGAAAGCUUUGCUAAUACCGCAUACGAUCUACGGAUGAAAGCAGGGGACCGCAAGGCCUUGCGCGGACGGAGCGGCCGAUGUCGGAUUAGGUAGUUGGUGGGAUAAAAGCUUACCAAGCCGACGAUCUGUAGCUGGUCUGAGAGGAUGAUCAGCCACACUGGGACUGAGACACGGCCCAGACUCCUACGGGAGGCAGCAGUGGGGAAUUUUGGACAAUGGGCGCAAGCCUGAUCCAGCCAUGCCGCGUGCAGGAUGAAGGCCUUCGGGUUGUAAACUGCUUUUGUACGGAACGAAAAGCCUUCUUUUAAUACAGGAGGGUCAUGACGGUACCGUAAGAAUAAGCACCGGCUAACUACGUG